GGAAACUGGUGCUAGGUUCCAGCCUGUUAGCUUGAGUUAACUCUAGGUCAAGUUGUCUAAGACGGAGUCUGAACCCAAGAUCUGGUCUCUCAGAGGAAAUACACACAAGCUCCAGCACAAGCCUUAAUUAGUGGCUUCGCAGAGAGCUCCCAAGGCUCCUCAGAGGUCCUGAGCUUACAUGCAGAAAGAUGAAGGGGACGAAUAUCAGUCUUGGCUCUCCUGGCUUUGACACUUAAAUCGAUUCCUGUAUCUUGGCUAAUGGGGCUUCCACUUCAGUCAACAUGGGCGUGUACUGUCUCAUCCACACACUGAUAUGUGUAGCCUUCGGAUGUGCACCAAGAAGCGAGCCAGAUCAAAUGGAAGGUCUAUGGAGAGGACCUCCGAAUUGACUGCAUUGCUUGAGCAGCUCUGCCACAGACUUAUGUGCCAAACACUGCUCCAAGAGCAGCCAUGCAACCAAGCAAUUGCUUCCUGCAGAAAUGUUGUGAGUGCUCACUGACUCACGCAUCUCAUAAGACACUAUGAGGAUGGAGAAGCUACUCAACAGAGAACCUGUGUGCCAGCAUGGGCACUUCCUACCAUGUGCAUGGAAAAGCAGGAAAGCCUGAACUUUGAAGAGAAAAAGAAUAACUUACGUCCAUGGACACUCAUGAGGCUGAGAUCCCAUUUACUCAUGAGAGAUGAAGAAAAUAGUUUUUAGUCAUUGAGUUCAUAGUUUUCAUUCAAGCCUCUCUAAUGUAUGCAUACUCCCUCCCUCUGAGCCCUCAAAUAACUACAGACUCAUAGAUAGAACACACACACACACACACACACACUUCAUGUUCCUA